rnacentral:rRNA from 1 species
UACGAAGGGUGCAAGCGUUAGUCGGAAUUACUGGGCGUAAAGCGUGCGUAGGCGGUCUCUUAAGUCCGUUGUGAAAGCCCUGGGCUCAACCUGGGAACUGCAGUGGAUACUGAGAAGCUAGAGUGUGUCAGAGGAUGGUGGAAUUCCCGGUGUAGCGGUGAAAUGCGUAGAUAUCUGGAGGAACACCGGUGGCGAAGGCGACAUCCUGGACCGGUAUUGACGCUGAGGCGCGAAAGCCAGGGGAGCAAACGGG